rnacentral:rRNA from 1 species
GAUGAACGCUGGCGGCGUGCCUAAUACAUGCAAGUCGAGCGAACGGACGAGAAGCUUGCUUCUCUGAUGUUAGCGGCGGACGGGUGAGUAACACGUGGAUAACCUACCUAUAAGACUGGGAUAACUUCGGGAAACCGGAGCUAAUACCGGAUAAUAUUUUGAACCGCAUGGUUCAAAAGUGAAAGACGGUCUUGCUGUCACUUAUAGAUGGAUCCGCGCUGCAUUAGCUAGUUGGUAAGGUAACGGCUUACCAAGGCAACGAUGCAUAGCCGACCUGAGAGGGUGAUCGGCCACACUGGAACUGAGACACGGUCCAGACUCCUACGGGAGGCAGCAGUAGGGAAUCUUCCGCAAUGGGCGAAAGCCUGACGGAGCAACGCCGCGUGAGUGAUGAAGGUCUUCGGAUCGUAAAACUCUGUUAUUAGGGAAGAACAUAUGUGUAAGUAACUGUGCACAUCUUGACGGUACCUAAUCAGAAAGCCAUGGCUAACUACGUGCCAGCAGCCGCGGUAAUACGUAGGUGGCAAGCGUUAUCCGGAAUUAUUGGGCGUAAAGCGCGCGUAGCGGUUUUUUAAGUCUGAUGUGAAAGCCCACGGCUCAACCGUGGAGGGUCAUUGGAAACUGGAAAACUUGAGUGCAGAAGAGGAAAGUGGAAUUCCAUGUGUAGCGGUGAAAUGCGCAGAGAUAUGGAGGAACACCAGUGGCGAAGGCGACUUUCUGGUCUGUAACUGACGCUGAUGUGCGAAAGCGUGGGGAUCAAACAGGAUUAGAUACCCUGGUAGUCCACGCCGUAAACGAUGAGUGCUAAGUGUUAGGGGGUUUCCGCCCCUUAGUGCUGCAGCUAACGCAUUAAGCACUCCGCCUGGGGAGUACGACCGCAAGGUUGAAACUCAAAGGAAUUGACGGGGACCCGCACAAGCGGUGGAGCAUGUGGUUUAAUUCGAAGCAACGCGAAGAACCUUACCAAAUCUUGACAUCCUUUGACAACUCUAGAGAUAGAGCCUUCCCCUUCGGGGGACAAAGUGACAGGUGGUGCAUGGUUGUCGUCAGCUCGUGUCGUGAGAUGUUGGGUUAAGUCCCGCAACGAGCGCAACCCUUAAGCUUAGUUGCCAUCAUUAAGUUGGGCACUCUAAGUUGACUGCCGGUGACAAACCGGAGGAAGGUGGGGAUGACGUCAAAUCAUCAUGCCCCUUAUGAUUUGGGCUACACACGUGCUACAAUGGACAAUACAAAGGGCAGCGAAACCGCGAGGUCAAGCAAAUCCCAUAAAGUUGUUCUCAGUUCGGAUUGUAGUCUGCAACUCGACUACAUGAAGCUGGAAUCGCUAGUAAUCGUAGAUCAGCAUGCUACGGUGAAUACGUUCCCGGGUCU